rnacentral:rRNA from 1 species
GACGAACGCUGGCGGCGUGCUUAACACAUGCAAGUCGAACGGAAAGGCCCUGCUUUUGUGGGGUGCUCGAGUGGCGAACGGGUGAGUAACACGUGAGUAACCUGCCCUUGACUUUGGGAUAACUUCAGGAAACUGGGGCUAAUACCGGAUAGGAGCUCCUGCUGCAUGGUGGGGGUUGGAAAGUUUCGGCGGUUGGGGAUGGACUCGCGGCUUAUCAGCUUGUUGGUGGGGUAGUGGCUUACCAAGGCUUUGACGGGUAGCCGGCCUGAGAGGGUGACCGGCCCCAUUGGGAGUGAGCAGCCGCGCGGGGUCCUCCGGGAGGAAGGGGUGGGGAAUACUGCACAAUGGGCGGAGGGCUGAAGCAGUGAGGCGUCUGGCGGGAUGGGGGGCUUCGGGGUGAAAAACCCCUUCGCGUGGGACGAAGGGUGGGGGGUGGUAAUGGGUUAAGAAGCGCCGGCAAACGAGG